rnacentral:rRNA from 1 species
AUUGAACGCUGGCGGCAGGCCUAACACAUGCAAGUCGAGCGGAUGAAGGGAGCUUGCUCCUGGAUUCAGCGGCGGACGGGUGGGUAAUGCCUAGGAAUCUGCCUGGUAGUGGGGGAUAACGUCCGGAAACGGGCGCUAAUACCGCAUACGUCCUGAGGGAGAAAGUGGGGGAUCUUCGGACCUCACGCUAUCAGAUGAGCCUAGGUCGGAUUAGCUAGUUGGUGGGGUAAAGGCCUACCAAGGCGACGAUCCGUAACUGGUCUGAGAGGAUGAUCAGUCACACUGGAACUGAGACACGGUCCAGACUCCUACGGGAGGCAGCAGUGGGGAAUAUUGGACAAUGGGCGAAAGCCUGAUCCAGCCAUGCCGCGUGUGUGAAGAAGGUCUUCGGAUUGUAAAGCACUUUAAGUUGGGAGGAAGGGCAGCAAGUUAAUACCUUGCUGUUUUGACGUUACCAACAGAAUAAGCACCGGCUAACUUCGUG